AGACCAUGAUGAGGACAUUUCCUCAAUUGCUCCUUGAAUCUUUCCCAAGUUUCAUAUAAGGAAUCCCCGUCCUCUUGUGAAUAUGUAUUGAUUUCAGUCAUUUAGCGAUU
rnacentral:snoRNA from 2 species